rnacentral:sRNA from 1 species
CCUGAAAUUAGUGGUUAAAGUGCAGCGAUCCACC